UCUGGAGAAGUUGGUUGUUCUGUUAUGGGUGCCCUGGCAGGAGGCCUGGGGAGGGGGGGGAAUGGGGAAUGAUGGAAUGUUAUUUGGCAUGAGGUUUUUACCCUGCAUGAUUGUUUGGCCUUUUAUGGCUCAGUGGUGUGUGAGUGUGUUUGGGUUUGACAUGAGAUGUAAGAUUUUUGAGGGUUCUACUGUGUGUGUCUCCCACUCAAACCUGGCAUGGGGUUCUACGUGCCUGGCCUGGGUUCUAUGUGUGUGUCCGGCUUGCUUUGACCGUGAUAAUGUUCAUACGGGGGUCUGUGUGAUUGGCUUGGGAUAUUGGAAUGGUCAACUAAAUCAUACCUGAUGGACGGCCACACGUUUACUCAAGGGCCUCCAGUAGGCAUGAAGAGCCCUGAGCGACGCUCCAGAGCGAUAUCCAACACACUGGGCAGGAAGGAGAGUAUCCAACUAAAGUGUAAAAGGAUGCAAGCGGCGUGUUCAGAUCAGUGACUUCAAAUUAGGACUACACCAAUCAGGAUCAAUGGAGGAUGGACACCAAAAGGAAUUCCACAAGGAGAGUCUGACGUUGGAAAGGGACCUAAAUGGAUUUUCAAGAUGACCUUCAGACCUGUAAUGAGACGGCUCUUCCUACCUGGCCCGAUUGAUGGAGAGCCCUGUGGAAACCUUCACUGGGGCUUCAAGGUAUAAAGAGGAGACUGUUUCAAUGGUAUUCCAUGGUACUCUGAAGACCGUUGUUGUGUUCCACUGGCUGAGGGGAAGAACCCACAAAUCUUUCUCUUGACCGUUCUCCUCUGAGAAUCCUGGUGCCAUCUUGAAGGAUAUUCCAGCUCAUGUAACUGAUGUCACGACAGUUUCUUAAACACUUGGUUUCUCCUGAGGGGCGUGUCUAUAGAACGGAAGACUUCAGACAGCACUGUAUCCCAGCAUGUAUCUCUGCUCACUCAGACCACACCCCCAUGAGUAGGAUGCAACACUCUAGUGAUGGAGAUGUAGAGUUUUAUAAGUAACAAGGGAGCAGACUAAGGUGAUUAGAACACAAUGGAAUGUCCAGUCUGUAAAUCUUUAAACCAUGAAGAUGGUUGGAUAGUUCAGGAAUUGGGCUUCUUUUUAUUAUGGGCAGUCCUUUCACUCGGAUGCCCACGAUGAUGCCCAUGAUUUGCUGUUGGUGAUGAGGCGGUCAGGGUGACGUUGCAGGGCUAUGGUCGGCUCUCUGCUCAACGUUUAGAUUUGCUCUGUAUGGUUUAUACCCGGAAUAAUCUAGAUAAUUGUAAAAUGUAUACACGGUUUUGUAUUGAAUGAUUUUAGUUUUAAAGUUGUUGUGGGACGUACAUGGUAGUUUGGUUCUUCGUAUGGUUUUGAGUGAUAUAACUUGUACACACCGGGUGCAUAAUAAUGUAAAGGUACACUGAAUAGUAAUGACCAACAGCAACAAACAGAUCUCCUCAAGGUAAGUCUGUUGGCUGUGUUUUAAUGAAGACCAUCGCUGGACUUCAGGAUCUUCCUCCGUUCAGCUCAAGGUGAGGCGCUGGUUCUGUUUUUUCUUUGGUUGGUUCCGGCCGGAAUGUUCGGAUUCCAGUCGGACGGUUUGUGCUUCCCGCCGUGGAAGGUUCUGAGUGCGGUCACUUGAUUUAGUCCCAAUGGUUAGCAUAGAACGUUGUAGUCUUGACAACCAUAAGAAACCACCUGGCAGUUUGUUGGACUGGAGUCCCCUGAGGGAAUCUGGCGGAACGUUCUGGAUUGUAUUUGCGUAACCUCGAGCCGUUUCCUAUUCUAUUUCAGUCGGUUUCGAUUGGGAAUUGUUGCCCCUAUCUAAAACAACUUAAGUCUGAUAUUAAAUACAUACUCAUGCGUACGUCGUACAAUAUGUUGAUAAAUUCCGAUGGUUGCGCCGUACUUUUAACCACGAUGACGUGACGGGACUCUCACUGCGUACAAAACGGCGUUCUACUUGCGGGCCCAUUUUUGACAUCAGGGGAGGCUGAAAAUCAUUUCAAGGUGGAAGCUAAUUUGACAUUUCUUCAACGGAACCCAGCACCUGAAUAUGGCUGAGUAUAUUUGAUUUAAUAUCGAUACUGCUUAGAGUUCUUUGUUACUUCAACUUUUGUAUGUUCUUAAUAUCUGCUGUCAUUAAUUGCCACAGAAGUUAAACCCUACCCAAUGGAAUGACGUUAAACAACGACUUUGGUUCAGUUACCAACUUCAUAAUAUCAAAGCUAAAAUACACAUGUUACAAUAGAAGAUACUCUAGUCUAGAACUGUACAAGGUUAAAAAGGUAACAUGUAGUUUGUCCCAAGGUGUUUGCCUCCUCACCCAGAGCAAGACCUCCACCUCCGCACCCAGAGCCAGACCUCCACCUCCUCACCCAGAGCCAGACCUCCAACUCCUCACCAAGAGACAGACCUCCACCUCCAGUCAGAAGUCCUCCAGAACAGCUGAACUGAGAGGCUGGGGACCAGAGGCUUGUGGUGCCAGGGUGGACCGGAGACUGAGGCUGGAGACCAGGGGCCCACAGCACCGGACCAGAGGUGAACCUCAGAUGCAGGAGGUGGGGUGUGUUGCGUCACCAGGUGAUUUACUGCUGAGAUGAACUGGGUUUGUAACCAGACCAGGAAUCCAUGUCUGGAGGAGCCGUGCUGAUGGAGGACCCGUGCUGAAGGAGCUGUUGGAGGAGUCGUGCUGAAGGCCCUGCCUGGUGAAGGACCUGCCUGGUGAAGGACGUCUGUCAUGGGGUAGAUGGAGCUUGACUCGGAAGUGAUCAUCACUGCUACCACAAACUACCGGCGUUUGUACCAUAUAUACCAGACGACUACAUCUGUUUUACCACAUGUUGAAGCAAGACUUCCGCUGUUUUUCCAGACUAGCUGUAAGUCCACACAAGAAGCGAAUUGAGCGACCAAAUCGCCGGAAGUCAUUCACUUUCUAUGGGCAAAAGCGACCAAAGCGACCAACGCUACCAGCGGCCAAAGUUGAGCGACCAGAGUGUCAAAAAGAAGUUGAAAACUUUUUAACUUUAUGCAAAUGACUAUUAUUCGCUUCAGCGGCCAAACACUGACAGCCAAUCGGAAUGUAGACGCUCUUCGCUUGCGUGGAUCCCAGGGAACAUCGGCAGGCACUUUGGUUCCUACCUACCUUUAUUCACUCACUGAACAAAAUGUCGGCUGAAGUAUUAAUCGCGGCUGUAACUGGGCACCCGGUGUUGUACGAACCCACCCUUUUUCAGUUCAGAGAUCGAAACGCCAUGGGGGUUUGGAUAUCAAGUGAUGAUAAGCGGGAGUAUUUAUAGGCUACAUCUAGAACGUUCGUAUUUAAGCGGGAAUCAUUUUAAUUUGCUCUAAAUGCCACCAAUCUAACCAACCAAUCGCGUGUAGCAUGCUUUAAACAAAACCAAAAAAAAAUUGAAAUCGUCACAUAAACAAACUAAUCGACAAGACGAGGGAUAAAUGACAAGGGAUAUAUCUCUUGUCUUUUAUCCCUCUAUUCCCCACUAUUCACGGAGCCUGAGGUGAAUAAUUGUUAAUUAAAUAGUCUAGAUAGAUAGAUAGCCUAGUCAAGUCUUUAUUAAUACCAAACGACACAAAUCGUCGGGAAUCCAUUUAGGUGGUUCGGCCCACACAGGACAGUAGCCUACAAGACCACACAGAACAAGUCUGACUGGACAUACACACAAUACAUCACAUUAAAACUAGACACGCGUUGAUAGAUAGAUAGACAGAAAGGCCUAGAUAUAUAGAUAUAUUCCAUUAUUUGCCUUGCGGAGCCAACCAGUCCUGUGCACGUAUGCAAAUUAGCCAUGUGCGACAAUGACUAUUUGUUUUGAAUGCAACGAAUGAGUGCAGAUCAUGAUUUGCAGAUCCAGAUCAGUGAAACAUAUUUCAACUACUACAGCACGCAGGGUUUUUUGUUCUCGGUUGUAAUUAGCCUACAUUUUAGGAUUUUUUUUUAUAUUGGGGGGAAUCCCUGUCCUACUUGUUGUCGAAGCACUUUAUCGAACAAGCAAAACCGUCUCGGCAAUAUGGCCAAGGUGUAUGGGAGAGUUCACUAUUUGAUAUGGCUGUCUGUAGGGCCUACUAAACGCAUACGGCUCCUUUUAAAUGCUUCUGCAUAAUUGAAUUGUACGUCAUGAGCGACCAAAGCGAACAGAAAAAUUCGUAGGGAAACUUUGUGAGCGACCAAAGCGUCUUCGCUCCUGGUGUGGACGUACAGUAGGACUCUGUCUGAGGAGAGCUGCUGGAGGAGCUGAGACGCUGGAGGAUGACUAGGAAUCGACCAACAAGGAUUCCUCAACGUGUUCCUGGAGAGGAGGCGAGCUGGUAGGGGAGCCGUGAAUCUGGAGGAUGAACAUCACUCUACAAACAAGGAUUACCACGACUCUGGCUGUGGAGAGCUGAUGGAGGAGCCAAGACUCUGGAGGACGACAUCGCUCCACCAACCAGGAUCCUCAGACAAAUUGCGUUUCUAACCAGACCAGGAAUCUGGAGGAUGGAGAUGGAGAAGCCGUACAUCUGGAAGGAAAAUCCUGAGGAUCACCAGCACUCUACCAUCAAGGAUUCCUCAUAAGUUUGCAUUAUCUGGACAUGGUGGACUAGACGCACCUGAGCUGAACCUCACCUGAUCCUGUUUGGUCGGGGGUAGACACACCUGAACUAAACCCGCCCUGAUCCUGACAUCCUGCUGGUCCCGUCUCCUCAGUUCAUCUGAGCCUUGUCCUCCAGAAGACCUGCUGAGCUCAGCAGUCUGAGGCUGAUGGAUCACUGACCUCCAGUGGGAGUGAUCUUCUUGACCUCACUACUUCACUACUCUCUACUGCUUCCUCUUUUCUUCCUUCUCUCUGGUUCAAAUCUUUACACUGAAGGCGCGUCUUCCUGCCCUCAGAGAGUUUAGCGUUAGGGUUGAGAGUCAGGGUUUAGAGUCAGGGACAGAGCUGGUCAGGGAGGACUGCUUUUACACAAACCUCUUCACUUGCUUUCGGAAUGGUGGUGACAUUUCGAAAAGAUUAACUUGGAAAAUGUUUUCCUCUGCUUUCCUUUAUAAUAUUGUAUUACAUUUCUGUCAAGUGUUUUUGUUUUCAUAUAUUAAAAUCCCACAUUGACUUCUA